AUGGAGACAUCGGUACAGUGGGCCGAUCUCCCUGGCGAUCUCCUUCAAGUGGUCUACCUCAACGUCGGCAGCUUCCUCCACCGCGUACGCUUCGCCGUCGUGUGUAGGUCGUGGCGACCGGUCGCCAUCGCGGCUAGGCACGCCGCACCGCCCACUCUGCCCUGGCUCAUCUUCCCCUCCUUACAUGGUGAUGAUUGAAAAACAAUGCGUGCAUACUGCCCCGAGGACGGCAGGGUCCUGCGCAUUCCAAUGAAAAGCGAGGUGCUCGUUGGCAAGCGGCUAGUGGGAGCAUACGACGGCGGCUGGGUCGCCGCUCUCGGGAAGGACAAGCAGCUUGACGAUGUGAACGUGUUCUCCGGUGUUGAGUUGCUCAUCCACGCAAAGAACAUGAGCAAUGUCUACUCGGGCUCAAAGGUUGUCUUCUCGAAAUCCCCCGUGUCAAGUGACUGCAUCCUCGCCACCAUCCCCCUGCGAAGUAGCAUCGCCGUCUGCAAGAUUGGUUGUCUGGCCGACAGAUGGACAACAAGCAGGUGUAUUGGGCAGAUCCUUAAGGACAUCGUAUUCUACAAUGGAAGAUUGUAUGGCCUCACCGCCUCAAUGGGCCUGAUCAAAUUCAAUAUAGGCGUGAACAAAUACGGCAGGCCUCUGGUCGCUGUUGACGUCGAGUUGCGUAUCCAGAUUGAUAAUGAACCUUUCAUAUGGUCAACUACCAUUGUUGAGCUGCGAGCCAAGCUAGCGAUGGUGCUAGGGAAAUUGCCAUUGUACAACAACAGCCGCGAGCCUUUCUUCAAGGUUUUUGUGCUGGCGGAUGAAUCGAUGACAAAGUAUGCUUGUAAGUGGGAGGAGGUAAUGAGCUUGGGAGACUGUGCCUUAUUUUUGGGGAAAAUGUCC
rnacentral:rRNA from 1 species